GAUGAAGAACGUAGCGAAAUGCGAUAAGUAAUGUGAAUUGCAGAAUUCAGUGAAUCAUCGAAUCUUUGAACGCACAUUGCGCCCGCCGGUAUUCUGGCGGGCAUGCCUGUUCGAGCGUCAUUACAACCCUCAGGCCCCCGGGCCUGGCGUUGGGGAUCGGCGGAAGCCCCCUGCGGGCACAACGCCGUCCCCCAAAUACAGUGGCGGUCCCGCCGCAGCUUCCAUUGCGUAGUAGCUAACACCUCGCAACUGGAGAGCGGCGCGGCCACGCCGUAAAACACCCAACUUCUGAAUGUUGACCUCGAAUCAGGUAGGAAUACCCGCUGAACUUAAGCAUAUCAAUAAGCGGAGGA
rnacentral:misc_RNA from 1 species